AACGAACGCUGGCGGCAGGCUUAACACAUGCAAGUCGAACGCCCCGCAAGGGGAGUGGCAGACGGGUGAGUAACGCGUGGGAAUCUACCCAUCCCUACGGAACAACUCCGGGAAACUGGAGCUAAUACCGUAUACGCCCUACGGGGGAAAGAUUUAUCGGGGAUGGAUGAGCCCGCGUUGGAUUAGCUAGUUGGUGGGGUAGAGGCCUACCAAGGCGACGAUCCAUAGCUGGUCUGAGAGGAUGAUCAGCCACAUUGGGACUGAGACACGGCCCAAACUCCUACGGGAGGCAGCAGUGGGGAAUAUUGGACAAUGGGCGCAAGCCUGAUCCAGCCAUGCCGCGUGAGUGAUGAAGGUCUUAGGAUUGUAAAGCUCUUUCACCGAUGAAGAUAAUGACGGUAGUCGGAGAAGAAGCCCCGGCUAACUUCGUGCCAGCAGCCGCCGUAAUAC
rnacentral:rRNA from 1 species